UGAAUCUGUUAUGGAGAUGGU
rnacentral:piRNA from 1 species